rnacentral:misc_RNA from 1 species
CAAACUUUUAACCAAAUUUCUGCCUUAAUUCUCUUAAACCCCCGUCCCCAAUCUUACUCCGUCGACGGCGAAUCCUCGCGUUUCCGGCAAUCGAACGGUAGUUGGUUGAGUCAAGAGGAGACAAAAGAUGCCGCUUUAUGAUUGUAUGCUUUUACUAAAACCGCAUGUAAAGAAGGAGGCUCUGAUGGACCUUGUUGCAAAGGUUGGGAAGCAUGUUUAUAGAAAAAAUGGCGUGCUUACGGGUUUAAAGUCGUUUGGUACUGUUCAAUUGGGUUAUGGCAUUAAGAAACUAG